UUAAAUUGAAGAGUUUGAUCAUGGCUCAGAUUGAACGCUGGCGGCAGGCCUAACACAUGCAAGUCGAACGGUAACAGGAAACAGCUUGCUGUUUCGCUGACGAGUGGCGGACGGGUGAGUAAUGUCUGGGAAACUGCCUGAUGGAGGGGGAUA
rnacentral:rRNA from 1 species